rnacentral:lncRNA from 1 species
AAUAUUACAAACUCACCACCACGAACUCAUCUACCAAAUACUUAAAUAUCUCUAUAUAUUAUAAUAUAAUUUAAAAAGUAAUCAAAUUUAAUAUCUGCAAGCAUAUAUGUUACUUUAAUUGAUAUCACAAACUUACCACUACAAGCUCAUCUACCAACCUAAACAGCAUUAUAUCUAUAUAUUAUAAUAUAAAUUUUAAAAUAAUCAAAUUUAAUAUUUGCAGGCAUAUAUGCUACUUUAAUUUAUAUCACAAACUCACCACCACAAACUCAUCUACCAAUUACUUGAAAAAUUUACAUCAUACUAAUAUUAAAUUUGUAGCUGGACUCUAUAUAUAUAUAUAUAUAUAUAUAGAGAGAGAGAGAGAGAGAGAGAGAGAGAGAGAGAGAGAGAGAAUUGGGCUCCUAUGCUUUUAAAAGUACCGAGUUAUUGGUGCUUGUAGAUUUUUAGCCAUUAGAUUGAGAGAUAUGCGGUUAGGAUGAUGUGGACCCCCUAGGAUUGAAUGUGUUGUUGGUUGAAUAGUAUAAUCUAAUGGUUGAAAAUGAUCAAAAAAAUAGAUCUAACCGUAAAAAACUUACAAGCAUCAAUUGUUUGGUACUUUUAUAUAUACAAUUUGUGUGUGUGUGUGUGUGUGUGAGAGAGAGAGAGAGAGAGAGAGAGGAGAAAAAAAGGAAAAAAAAUGGGUGAGAGAAGAGAGAGUGAGUGUAUGAGAGAGAGAGAGGGAGAAUGUGUGGUGUAUAUAUAGAAAGAGAGAGAGAGAUGUCCAAAUUUAUCUAUGUUUUAGACUUUUACUCAACACUUCUACCAAAGAUCUUUCCAUAAUUGGAAUUCGAAUAUUCCUGAAUUUAAAUUGCUUGGUAUUUUUUUUGAAAAUUCAAUUCAUUCGGAAAUAUUAGGUAGAAGUUUUGAUAAUACAUAUGACUCACAUUAUAAUACAAAAAUUUUCGGUUGAGUUGAGUAAGAAUUCAUUUGCAAAAUAAAAUAAAAGAGGAAAAUAUUAUUAAUACCACAAAUUUUUUCCACAACUUCGCCUACCAACUUAAAUGUUUAUCUCUUUCGUUCUUUUGCUGCAGAUCUUUCUAUUCUUUUGUUGGUACGUUAUACUAUUUCCAUUUCCAGAUGAAGAAGAGUUGUGACAAGCACUAUACAUUCUUUCAAUUUUGCUGUGUUAGAUUUCGCACAAUACGUGACGUAGACGUUUAAUCAUGUCAGAAUAUGAGGGGUUUUCUUGGAAAUAUAACUUUAAUAAUUAUGUUAUUAACUAUUAGCAUUGUGCUUAUUAUGUUUACAUGUUUUUU